rnacentral:sRNA from 1 species
UAUCAGAUCAUCCUUUUCCUUCCUACA